GAAAAGAAACCAACAGGGAUUGCCUCAGUAACGGCGAGUGAAGCGGCAAAAGCUCAAAUUUGAAAUCUGGCGCCCACAAGCGUCUGAGUUGUACUUUGGAGAGGCAUCUUCGCGAGGGGUCCAGCCUAUGUUCCUUGGAACAGGGCGUCACAGAGGGUGAGAAUCCCGUUCGUGGCUGGAUACUCCUUGUAGUAUGUAGUGUCUUCAAUGAGUCGAGUUGUUUGGGAAUGCAGCUCAAAAUGGGUGGUAAAUUUCAUCUAAAGCUAAAUAUUGGCGAGAGACCGAUAGCGCACAAGUAGAGUGAUCGAAAGAUGAAAAGCACUUUGAAAAUAGAGUCAAACAGUACGUGAAAUUGUUGAAAGGGAAGCGCUUGAGAUCAGAGUCAGCCUUUGACAAACAACAUUCCUUCUGGAUAGUGCACUUGUUAUUGGCUGGGCCAGCAUCAGUUGGG
rnacentral:rRNA from 1 species